CCUACGGGUGGCUGCAGUGAGGAAUCUUGGUCAAUGGGCGCGAGCCUGAACCAGCCAAGUAGCGUGAAGGAUGACUGCCCUACGGGUUGUAAACUUCUUUUAUAAAGGAAUAAAACGAGGCACGUGUGCCUUUUUGCAUGUACUUUAUGAAUAAGGAUCGGCUAACUCCGGGCCAGCAGCCGCGGUAAUACGGAGGAUCCGAGCGUUAUCCGGAUUUAGUGGGUUUAAAGGGAGCGUAGAUGGUUUGUUAAGUCAGGUGUGAAAGUUUGCGGCUCAACCGUAAAAUUGCAAUUGAUACUGGCAGUCUUGAGUACAGUUGAGGUAGGCGGAAUUCGUGGUGUAGCGGUGAAAUGCUUAGAUAUCACGAAGAACUCCGAUUGCGAAGGCAGCUUACUAAACUGCCACUGACAUUGAUGCUCGAAAGUGUGGGUAUCAAACAGGAUUAGAUACCCGGGUAGUC
rnacentral:rRNA from 1 species